rnacentral:rRNA from 1 species
UACGUAGGGUGCAAGCGUUGUCCGGAAUUAUUGGGCGUAAAGAGCUCGUAGGCGGUUUGUCGCGUCUGCUGUGAAAACCCGAGGCUCAACCUCGGGCCUGCAGUGGGUACGGGCAGACUAGAGUGUGGUAGGGGAGAUCGGAAUUCCUGGUGUAGCGGUGGAAUGCGCAGAUAUCAGGAAGAACACCCGUGGCUAAGGCGGCUCUCUAGUACGGUACUGACGCUGAGACGCGAAAGCGUGGGGAGCGAACAGG